ensembl:lncRNA
CUAUUUCAAAGCCUCUCAACAACUCUGAUCCUUUUGCGGCAUUCUGUCCUUAUCUGAAAGUUGGCAAAUUCCAAUUGAGACUUCUAAAAGCAUAUGACAGUUCACAGAGAAACAAAAGGGGCAAUCCCUUGUAAAAAUGUCUUUGAUGACCAGGAGGUUUCUCACAGGUAACCAGUAAAAAUUCACUGAACACCAGAAAGCUCAUCUGUGCAUAUUAGCAAGUCUGGGAAACACCUUUUUUUUUUUCAGGUUAAUGUACCUAAAGUGUUCUAGAGGUAAAUGCAAAUGGAGGUAAGUAUUAAUGGUGUAGCAAGUACCAAUACAGUCCUAGGUGAUGCUGUAAUUUAGAGAAAUACAAUUGAAAGUAAUUGCUGUCUUGCAGAGAAGCUCAUGCUACUCAGUAUAGAUCAAAGUCAGUGAAUGAAGGAGGUUGCAACAAGAUUCCUGGACUUUGACCGACAAUCAGAGAAUCAAUGGCUAUGUCCAAAAAAGUCCGUCCACUGAAUGCUAAGAUCUACUGCAGUAGAGACAAAGUACUUAUGGUGCAGUUUGGAUUCUGCAUUUUCUUCGAGAACCAGAAAAAAAGCACCUGUGAUUUUGUCUACUUGUCUACCAGAUUUACAGCUACUGGAAUUAAACUUGUGAUUGUCUUAGUUAAUAGCACUAAGGGUGACAAUUCGUUUAUACCUAAUGGUAGGAUGUUCAAAUAAUUGAUGUUAGAUAAAAAUUAUACUGAAGAAUAAUUUCUUAAUUCUUUCUCUCCUUUUUCUCUGCUUAAAAACAAAUUGCUCUUAAGUAUCAAAUUGUUCUAUUUGGAAGAAAUAAAUGUGUGUUUUAUGUUUUAAUAUUGUAAAAACCCAGUCUUCCGGGAAUCAUUUUGAAGCAGACAGAUGUGAGUGAUUAUAUUCUAUAGGUCACUAAAAAUUCAUCUCAAUAAAUAUAAAAUACAAAUCUGGGAAUAUCUCCAAAUGUUUUCCCCAGUAGCUGACUGUUUCUGGCAUUCUCUAUUAUAUAAGAUGGGAAGAGGAUAAUAUUCCUCACUUUUGUUUCCAAAGGAGGAAAGAAUGUUCAGAAUGAAGAUGUGAUGUGCAGUGCAUUACCCUGAAUCAUUAAGAGAUUAAGUUCUGAGUUAGUGCAAUACAUACAUUCACAUAAUUUAAUCAAUAUAGAUUAUACACAUUUACAAACUUACAAGUAAAUUAGAAGUUCCUGAGUGCAACUAAUGUAUCAGAAGCAUGUAAUGAUGUAAAAACCUAAAAAAUAAAAGAAAACUGAAAAUCUAAUAUCAACAGUUCUGUGCAUCGUUACUCAAAAUAUGGACAGAAAUAAAAUACUUCAGCUAAAAAAUUCUCCACUUUAGAGGUUGGUGAGAAGACAACUGCAGAUGGUUGCAGAAAGAAAAUAAUUCUUAUACUGGAAUAAGAAAAACAAGGAGAGUAAUCUUCAGAUUUUCAUUGCAGCUUCUUGUACUUUACAAAAUCUGUGAAGAGUAUGUGAUUAAAGACCCUCAUAUAGAAAUUAUUCGUAUUGUCCUUAAAAAGAUAAAAUAUGUGUUAUUUUCAGGAAGACUAUAUAUCCUAACAGUACAGUAAUGCCUUUUCUGCAACAUAUACUUGUUAGUACCUAAGUGAGAGGUCUGCAAGCCAGAAUGAUUAGGCUUGUGUCAGGCAGAAAAACAACGAGGUAUAUUCCAGCAUACAAAAAGCAAUUUCAGAAGGAAUGAAACACCUAACGUGAUCAGCAAGAAGAAUUCAUUAAGGAAGCAGUCAAAUAGCUUUUCUUUUCCCACUGGUUUCUCACAUAGUGUUUUCAUUACCAUAAGCCAUAGCAUUAUGAAGUAAAGCACUUAAAAAAAAAAAAAAAUCAACCACUAUCAAUGAUCUAGAGGCAAUUACACACUAGACUUUUCUGUUUGUUUCAAUGGUUAGUUGAACCUUGUAUUUUAAAGCGAUGGAAUUCAGUAGGUAUAUUUUUUCCUAUGUUCAUUAUUUCCACAUUAACACUAGCACAACUACAGACUUUGUUAUUUAAUUUAUUAUGCAUUUAAAUUAUGAUAGUAAGUGAUAGUCAUAAUGUAAUCUUAAAUGUUGGCUGUAUCAAGAACAUAUUAAAACCAUCAACUCCUCUCUAAAGAGAGGUACUAUCAAUAAAUUAAUUCAGGAAACUCAUUCAGCCAAAGGGCCAAACACUGUCACUCCAACUGUAUCAAGUACCAUGAAAUGCAGCCCAAAGCAAAGUACAAUUACCUUAUGAGCUUCGAUGUUAAAACUGAGACCUGAAAACAAUUUGAUGUAAACAGCCUUUUAAACUGAUAAUAAUAAACCAAGAGCGGCUGUCUGAAUGUACAGUCGUGACAUGCUAAAUUAUACUAGUUGGAUAUUACCAAUUAAUUUCAGCAGAAGUUUAAUUUCAGGAUGUUUUCUGAGCUUAAUUUUUUUUUUUCUAAGAACAGCUCGCUGGUAGUAUAUUUGCAAAAUGAUUUAAUACACUGCAACAACUCUCUCUUUGCUAUCUCAGGAAUUCCUACAACUAAUGUAUACAGCUGGAAUUAUCAACUUUAAUCAAAGAGAAAAAGAGGGCUAACUUCCAUUUCCAAAGCUCAUCUGUAUGCAUGUAUCUCAUCAGCAACAGAUAUUUCUGCUCUGCAUUUAUUUCUAUGGUUCAUCAAGGGACUUUUCUGGACAUAAUGCUAUCUGACAUAUGUACGAAUCCUUCUUUGUUUUUUGGCUCAAAGCUUGCUUUCUGAGGCAUUUCUUGUGAUAAGACUCCGACUUAGAUGAGAGGAUAUUUAAAGUAUUAUGUCACUUGCACUGUUAUGGCAACACAAAGGACAGAUCAGAAGUCUAGGAAAGUUGAUAAGAAAACUGAAGACAAAUGGAAGGGAAAAUGAAGAAAGGAGAAAGGUAGGUAGACAUUAUGCUACAAAAAAACAUAACAAAACAAAACCAAAAACAGAUGGUAUACUAGAGUGCCUAUUUUCACAUCCGUAGAUGAAGCAGGCCAGUUUGUCUGAACCUGAAUAUGUGUCUGUGGUUGAAACAAAAUGUGUACUGGAAGUUAGAUAAGUCAUUAAGAAAGAAUUGAAGUGACUGCCUCAAACCACUCCAAAACCUGUGUCAGUGGUAUGUGGGCUGGUUCAGCCUGGUUCCAUGACCAGCGGGGAAUCUGCGCCUCUGGAAAGGGGAAACAGCAGACCCCAAAAUAAUUAAGAACAGCGUCAGUGAUCUGAGGAG